UACGUAGGUGGCAAGCGUUGUUCGGAAUUAUUGGGCGUAAAGGGCGCGUAGGCGGUUUGUUAAGUCGGCUGUGAAAGCCCGGGGCUCAACCCCGGAGGGUCAGCCGAUACUGGCAGACUAGAGUACGGAAGAGGUAGCUGGAAUUCCCGGUGUAGCGGUGAAAUGCGUAGAGAUCGGGAGGAACACCUGUGGCGAAGGCGGCCGACUGGGCCGACCCUGACGCUGAGGCGCGAAGGCGUGGGGAGCGAACGGG
rnacentral:rRNA from 1 species